rnacentral:rRNA from 1 species
UGGCGUACGGGUGAGUAACACGUGGGUAAUCUGCCUCUUUGUGGGGAAUAACACUGGGAAACCGGAGCUAAUACCGCAUAAGCCUGGAAAGGGAAAGCAAGCAAUUGCGCAGAGAGAGGAGCCCGCGGCCGAUUAGCUAGUUGGCAGGGUAAAAGCCUACCAAGGCAAUGAUCGGUAGCCGGCCUGAGAGGGCACACGGCCACACUGGCACUGAAACACGGCCAG